UGGCUCAGUUGGUAGAGCAUGGUGUUUGCAACGCCAGGGUUGUGGGUUAGAUUCCCAC
rfam:Salmo salar isolate Sally breed double haploid chromosome ssa12, whole genome shotgun sequence.